rnacentral:rRNA from 1 species
ACCUAAUAGAUACCCCGGUAGUCCACGCCCUAAACGAUGCGAACUGGAUGUUGGGUACAUUACGGUACUCAGUGUCGAAAGCUAAACGCGUUAAGUUCGCCGCCUGGGGAGUACGGUCGCAAGACUGAAACUCAAAGGAAUUGACGGGGGCCCGCACAAGCGGUGGAGUAUGUGGUUUAAUUCGAUGCAACGCGAAGAACCUUACCUGGCCUUGACAUCUGUCGAAUCCUGCAGAGAUGCGGGAGUGCCGCAAGGAACGACAAGACAGGUGCUGCAUGGCUGUCGUCAGCUCGUGUCGUGAGAUGUUGGGUUAAAGUCCCGCAACGAGCGCAACCCUUGUCCCUAGUUGCCAGCACAUCAUGGUGGGAACUCUAGGGAG